rnacentral:rRNA from 1 species
AACGAACGUUAGCGGCGCGCCUAACACAUGCAAGUCGCACGAGAAAGGGGGCAACCCCCGGUACAGUGGCGCACGGGUGAGUAACACGUAGGUAAUCUGCCUCCGAGUGGUGGAUAACCUUCCGAAAGGAGGGCUAAUACAGCAUGAGACCACGACCACGAGAGUGGAUGGGGUCAAAGCCGGCCUCUAUACAUAAGCUGGCGCUUGGAGAUGAGCCUGCGGCCCAUCAGCUAGUUGGUAGGGUAAUGGCCUACCAAGGCAAAGACGGGUAGCUGGUCUGAGAGGAUGAUCAGCCACACUGGAACUGAGACACGGUCCAGACUCCUACGGAGGCAGCAGUGGGGAAUCUUGCGCAAUGGGCGAAAGCCUGACGCAGCGACGCCGCGUGGGUGACGAAGGCCU